AGAGUUUGAUUAUGGCUCAGGAUGAACGCUAGCGACAGGCUUAACACAUGCAAGUCGAGGGGCAGCGGGAGUGAAGCUUGCUUCACUCGCCGGCGACCGGCGCCCUGGUGAGUAACGCGUAUGCGACCUGCCCGCGGCCGGGGGAUAAUCCAUAGAAAUGUGGUCUAAUACCCCAUAUGCCGGUUCUCUGCAUGGAGGACCGGUGAAAGGAGAGAUCCGGGCGCGGAUGGGCAUGCGUCUGAUUAGCUGGUUGGCGGGGCAACGGCCCACCAAGGCUACGAUCAGUAGGGGUUCUGAGAGGAAGGUCCCCCACAUUGGUACUGAGACACGGACCAA
rnacentral:rRNA from 1 species